rnacentral:rRNA from 1 species
CCCGUAACGAGCGCAACCCUUGUCCUUAGUUACCAGCACCUCGGGUGGGCACUCUAAGGAGACUGCCGGUGACAAACCGGAGGAAGGUGGGGAUGACGUCAAGUCAUCAUGGCCCUUACGGCCAGGGCUACACACGUGCUACAAUGGUCGGUACAAAGGGUUGCCAAGCCGCGAGGUGGAGCUAAUCCCAUAAAACCGAUCGUAGUCCGGAUCGCAGUCUGCAACUCGACUGCGUGAAGUCGGAAUCGCUAGUAAUCGUGAAUCAGAAUGUCACGGUGAAUACGUU